rnacentral:rRNA from 1 species
GAUGAACGCUAGCUACAGGCUUAACACAUGCAAGUCGCGGGGCAGCAUGGGGGUUGCUUGCAAUCCCCGAUGGCGACCGGCGCACGGGUGAGUAACGCGUAUCCAACCUGCCCUUCACCACGGGAUAACCCGGCGAAAGUCGGACUAAUACCGUAUGUUGUCCAUUGACGGCAUCCGAUUUGGACGAAAGGUUUGGCGGUGAAGGAUGGGGAUGCGUCCGAUUAGCUGGACGGCGGGGUGACGGCCCACCGUGGCGACGAUCGGUAGGGGUUCUGAGAGGAAGGUCCCCCACACGGGAACUGAGACACGGUCCAGACUCCGACGGGAGGCAGCAGUGAGGAAUAUUGGUCAAUGGGCGUAAGCCUGAACCAGCCAAGUAGCGUGCAGGAUGACGGCCCUAUGGGUUGUAAACUGCUUUUAUGCGGGGAUAAAGUGGCCCACGUGUGGGUUUUUGCAGGUACCGCAUGAAUAAGGACCGGCUAAUUCCGUG